rnacentral:rRNA from 1 species
UACGUAGGGCGCAAGCGUUAUCCGGAAUUAUUGGGCGUAAAGAGCUCGUAGGCGGUUUGUCGCGUCUGCCGUGAAAGUCCGGGGCUCAACUCCGGAUCUGCGGUGGGUACGGGCAGACUAGAGUGCAGUAGGGGAGACUGGGAUUCCUGGUGUAGCGGUGAAAUGCGCAGAUAUCAGGAGGAACACCGAUGGCGAAGGCAGGUCCCUGGGCUGUAACUGACGCUGAGGAGCGAAAGCAUGGGGAGCGAACAGG